rnacentral:lncRNA from 1 species
UAGAUAGUUCCAUAUCAUUCCAUUCCAUGCUUACACUUUAGUUUACAUAAAAUACUUGCAUCAAAGUUAUGUUAUGGUAGAGAUGGAACUCCGUUCGAGUUCGUUGUUCUAAGCCAUUUGGAGUGUUCUUAUGGCUAGACGUGGUCGUUGUACCUUGGAAGAUGAUUGCCGAAAAAUUGUUAGCACCAAUGCAAGAUAGAUUCAUCUUAAGGACAAAGUGCCCAACACUUGCCUCGGUCAAUCCUAUCUCACGUUGAUUCUUUCUAAUUUCUUUUUUCGUAUUUGAUUUUAGAAAGUUAGUAACAUUCUUUGGUUAAUGUAGGUUUGAACUAAAGAAUGG